UAAAUAUUUAUAGGAUAGAGAUGGGCUCGCGUGACAUUAGCUAGUUGGUAGGGUAACGGCUUACCAAGGCGACGAUGUCUAGGGGCUCUGAGAGGAGAAUCCCCCACACUGGUACUGAGACACGGACCAGACUCCUACGGGAGGCAGCAGUAAGGAAUAUUGGUCAAUGGGCGGAAGCCUGAACCAGCCAUGCCGCGUGCAGGAUGACUGCCCUAUGGGUUGUAAACUGCUUUUGUCCAGGAAUAAACCUAGAUACGUGUAUUUAGCUGAAUGUACUGGAAGAAUAAGGAUCGGCUAACUCCGUGCCAGCAGCCGCGGUAAUACGGAGGAUCCGAGCGUUAUCCGGAUUUAUUGGGUUUAAAGGGUGCGUAGGCGGCCUAUUAAGUCAGGGGUGAAAUACGGUGGCUCAACCAUCGCAGUGCCUUUGAUACUGAUGGGCUUGAAUCCAUUUGAAGUGGGCGGAAUAAGACAAGUAGCGGUGAAAUGCAUAGAUAUGUCUUAGAACUCCGAUUGCGAAGGCAGCUCACUAAGCUGGUAUUGACGCUGAUGCACGAAAGCGUGGGGAUCGAACAGGAUUAGAUACCCUGGUAGUCCACGCCCUAAACGAUGAUAACUCGAUGUUGGC
rnacentral:rRNA from 1 species